CUUGGGUGUCAGCAGAGGGCACAUGGGCUCCUGAAGGUCCAGACCCCAGGCUUUACACACCUUCCGUAGCUCUCCUCUGCAAAGGGAGAACGAACAAGAACCUGGCCGACUGCCUGCUGUCCCAGGAGCAUCGCGUUGGGGCUGGGAUCCAGGAGACAAUGGGGCCCACCCCCGAGGAGGCAGAGGCAGAGGCAGAGGUGAGCCUCUGAGGCCCUCGGUGACCUGAGACCACUCAGUGUUGGGAUUUGAACUGGUUUCUGUCAAGCUCCUGGUCUCGGCGAAGCUUCCCACCUCCCGGCUGGCUCGUGGUGGGCCAUACCGUGGUGGCACGGGUAGAGUGGUCACAGGAGCCAAGGGAUGCACCUGCUUGCAACCCGUGAAGUGCCCGGGGGAAGUGCAGGGGUGCAGCACACU
rnacentral:lncRNA from 1 species